rnacentral:rRNA from 1 species
GAUGAACGCUAGCGGGAGGCCUAACACAUGCAAGCCGAGCGGUAUUGUUUCUUCGGAAAUGAGAGAGCGGCGUACGGGUGCGGAACACGUGUGCAACCUGCCUUUAUCUGGGGGAUAGCCUUUCGAAAGGAAGAUUAAUACUCCAUAACAUAUUGAUUGGCAUCAAUUAAUAUUGAAAGCUCCGGUGGAUAGAGAUGGGCACGCGCAAGAUUAGCUAGUUGGUGAGGUAACGGCUCACCAAGGCGAUGAUCUUUAGGGGGCCUGAGAGGGUGAUCCCCCACACUGGUACUGAGACACGGACCAGACUCCUACGGGAGGCAGCAGUGAGGAAUAUUGGUCAAUGGGUGCAAGCCUGAACCAGCCAUCCCGCGUGAAGGACGACUGCCCUAUGGGUUGUAAACUUCUUUUGUAUAGGGAUAAACCUACCCUCGUGAGGGUAGCUGAAGGUACUAUACGAAUAAGCACCGGCUAACUCCGUGCCAGCAGCCGCGGUAACAC